GGAAGUUAAGAAACUGUUUUUUAAUUUUUAACUAAAAAAACUAAGAACCAGUUUUUAAAGUCCUUAUUUAAGAACCAGUUCUUAACUUUUUUAAUUAAAAGUUAAGAAACAGUUUUUUAACUUUC
rfam:Brassica oleracea var. oleracea cultivar TO1000 chromosome C8, whole genome shotgun sequence